rnacentral:rRNA from 1 species
UACCAGCACCCCGAGUGGUCGGGACGUUUAUUGGGCCUAAAGCAUCCGUAGCCGGUUCUACAAGUCUUCCGUUAAAUCCACCUGCUUAACAGAUGGGCUGCGGAAGAUACUAUAGAGCUAGGAGGCGGGAGAGGCAAGCGGUACUCGAUGGGUAGGGGUAAAAUCCGUUGAUCCAUUGAAGACCACCAGUGGCGGAGGCGGCUUGCCAGAACGCGCUCGACGGUGAGGGAUGAAAGCUGGGGGAGCAAACCGG